rnacentral:tRNA from 1 species
GCCUCGUUAGCGCAAUAGGCAGCGCGUCAGUCUCAUAAUCAAAUCUAGAAAUCUGAAGGUCGUGAGUUCGAUCCUCACACGGGUCA